UCCCGGGUCUUGUACUCACCGCCCGUCACACCAUGGGAGUUGUGUUUGCCUUAAGUCAGGAUGCUAAAUUGGCUACUGCCCACGGCACACACAGCGACUGGGGUGAAGUCGUAACAAGGUAACCGUAGGUGAACCUGCGGUUGGAUCACCUCCUUUCUAGA
rnacentral:rRNA from 1 species